rfam:Pristionchus pacificus strain PS312 contig1088, whole genome shotgun sequence.
UCUUCAUUUCCCACGUUCUCUCACCGGUCAGAGUGACGAGAGAGUGUGUGAAAUGAAGAGA